GGGGCUACGUGUCGGAUCCUGGGUGUAAGGGAGCGCAGGCGGGCUUUCAAGUCGGUGGUGAAAUCUUACAGCUUAACUGUAAAACUGCCUCCGAUACUGUAAGUCUUGAGUGUGGAAGAGGGCGAUGGAAUUCAUGGUGUAGCGGUGAAAUGCGUAGAUAUCAUGAAGAACACCGGUCGCGAAGGCGGUCGCCUGGUCCAUUACUGACGCUCAUGCUCGAAAGUGUGGGGAGCAAACAGGAUUAGAUACCCUGGUAGUCCACACCUUAAACGAUGAAUACUUGGUGUCGGGUCGAAAGGCUCGGUGCCAAAGCUAACGCAUUAAGUAUUCCACCUGGGGAGUACGAUCGCAAGGUUGAAACUCAAAGGAAUUGACGGGGGCCCGCACAAGCAGUGGAGCAUGUGGUUCAAUUCGAUGCAACGCGAAGAACCUUACCUGGGUUUGAAAAGCAAGAUUCUAGUCCCUGAAAGGGGAUUACCCGCAAGGGGUCUUGUACAGGUGCUGCAUGGCUGUCGUCAGCUCGUGCCGUGAGGUGUUAGGUUAAGUCCUGCAACGAGCGCAACCCCUACAUUUAGUUGCCAUCAGGUAAUGCUGGGCACUCUAAAUGGACUGCCUACGCAAGUAGUGAGGAAGGUGGGGAUGACGUCAAGUCCUCAUGGCCCUUACACCCAGGGCCACACACGUGCUACAAUGGCCACUACAAAGGGCUGCAAUACCGCAAGGUGGAGCCAAUCCCAAAAAAGUGGUCUCAGUUCGGAUUGAGGGCUGCAACUCGCCCUCAUGAAGCUGGAAUUGCUAGUAAUCGUAGAUCAGCACGCUACGGUGAAUACGUUCCCGGGCCCUUGUACACACCGCCCGUCAAGCCAUGGAAAGCUGGGGGUACCCGAAGUCACUGUCCGAACCCGCAAGGGACGGAGUGCCUAAUGUAAAACUAGUGACUGGGGCU
rnacentral:rRNA from 1 species